UUUUACCUUCCAGCGGGGACAACGUUCCGAAGGGACGCUAAUACCGCGUACGUUUCUCGGGACUCUGGUCCUGAGAAGGAAAGCUAGGUAGCAAUAUCCGGCACUGGAUGAGAAGCCUGCGUAGCAUCAGCUAGUUGGUGGGGUAACGGCCUACCAAGGCGAAGACGCUUAGCUGGUCUGAGAGGAUGAUCAGCCACACUGAAACUGAGACACGGUUCAG
rnacentral:rRNA from 1 species